rnacentral:lncRNA from 1 species
UACUCUGCCACAUAUAAGAAAGAUUAGAGCCUAAAUCUACAUGGAAAAAAAGGGUUGUGCCGAAAAUUUCUAGUUCAAAACACCCUUGAAACCAGCAAAUCAUCAUAAAACAACAACCGCCACCCUUGCUUAGUCAGCAUGGCUUGGUUAAAACAAAAAAGAGUGCUGCUAAACAUCGGGAACCUUGAGAGAACCCUGAGAGAAAUGGCAGCUUGUGCUGCCGUUUCGUUCUUUCACCUUCCCCCCCCCCCCCCCCCCCCAACAUGACUAAGAGAAAUAUGUCCCCCAUGUGAAAAAGACUCCCUUUCAACUCCUUUUCCUUCUUCGCUUUCACAGCUCCGUUCCAGUACUCCCUUUCAACUCCUUUUCCUUUCUAUUUUCAACUCCUUCUCCAGCACUCCCACAUGAACUCCAACUCCUUUUCCUUUUGUUCACUCCAACAGCAACUCACUUCGUCUCAGCCUUCCCGACAUUACAGCAGCUUCGUCUCCGUCUGUCUCCCUAGCUUCGUCUCCGUCUUCUCUCGCUCCAGAUCUAAUUAGUGGUCGCUGCUAUCGGUGGUCGAAAACGAGUUUCCUCUCACUCCCUCCCCCCUCUUACUCUGUUUUUCCUCUCACUCCAGCAGCAGCUUCGUCUCAGCCUUCCCGACGUUACAACAGCUUCGUCUCCAUCUCCCCAGCUUCGUCUCCGUCUUCUCUCGAUCCAUAUCUAAUCGGUGGUCGCUGCUGUCGGUGGUCGGUGGUCACUCUCUCCGUUUAGUUGGUAAUUAUUUUUUGAUAAUUAAUUUAUGAUAAUUGUUGGUAAUUUUGUUUGGUAAUUAUUUUGUUGAGUGAUUAUUUUGUUGGGAAUUAUUUUGGUAAUUGUAUUGUUGAUAAUUAUUUUAAUAAUUAAUUUAUGAUAAUUGUUGGUAAUUUUGUUUGGUAAUUAUUUUGUAGAGUGAUUAUUUUGUUGGGAAUUAUUUUGGU